ensembl:lncRNA novel transcript
AAGCAUAAUAAGAGGCGUGUUCCACCACUGUGGACGGGGUCCCUGGGCUUUCCCCUAGGGUCCCAUCAGCUGCUUAUGUUCUACCUUCUGACGGAUCACAGGAGGAGCCUGCAGCGGAGGAGCCUCCUCCUCCUCAGCAUCAGACCUAAAGGGAGUGUCCUGCCUGAAGGACCGGCUCAAGGUCGCACUAACAGCUCUUGCUAACUCCUGUUCCAGGCUGUUUAUCUGGGCCUCCAAGUACCCUGCUUGCGCCUGGAGGUCUCUCACCCCCAGGUCCUGCUCAAAGCUGUGCACUUGGGCCCCCAGGCAUGCGGCUUGCUCCGGAAGGUCCCUUACCUGUGGCACUGAGCAUGUACUUCCUGCAGUGCAGUUAGAAAUGCCCAUCCGACUCUGCUUGCAAAGGCCCUCAGUGGAUUGGAUGAUGCCUGUCCACAUUGGCAAGGGUGGAUAUUCUCGUCUCAGUGUACCGAUUUGAAUGCAAAUCUCUUCUGGAAACACCCUCACAGACAUACUCAGAAAUGUUUUACCAGCUAUCUGGGGAUCCCUUAGCCCAGUUCCUUUAUUUAUAGGCACAGCUGCUUAAAGACUGUUACCGGAAAGGAAUCCUGAUCCAGACGCCAAGAGAGGGUUCUUGGACUCAUGCAAGAAAGACUUCAGCUGGCUGCAGAUGACAGUGACACCCUGGGAGUUGAGAAAUGCUUGUAAGAUGGAAGGAGGCUGUGUCCCUGAAUGAUCACCUGGAAGAGAGCCACCUUAGCCAAUGAAACUCCUGCUAUGAAUGUUUGCUGAGCAAGAAAUAUACUUACUGCUUUAUAUGCCUUUGAAGCUAUAGGUUCAUAUUGUUACCACAAUUUAAAGUGCUAUAAUAAAAAGAGUUCAGGAAGCAGGCACAUGGAAGCAAUAAGAGCAACAAACAUUUACACAGUUCUCAGGUCCCUGGACCAUGAAGGGCCACAUCCAAGGAGCUACCCCAGGAGGCCUCUCAUUUGCAUUUGUCCCCGCUAAUGCAGGACAGAGAUCAUGGAAGUUGGGCCCGACUGGAUGAGAUUUGGGGGUCUUUGGAAGUGGAGAAUGUGUUUGCCCUGGGGAAGAGAGGUGAUGUCUAGGAGACCUCUUCACUCAGGGCAAGCUCUAUGACCUGCUUUGACUCCAGAAUGUGGUAGAAGUGGCAUCACAUAAAUUGCAGAGCCUAGGCUUCAAGAGACCUUGCAACUUGCCUCUCACUGACUUGAAGUGCUCCCAUCAGAGCAUCUUGUAAGGAGCAGGUGGAGCAUGUGGACAAGCCAUCCCCACCAGCCCCUGAGACAUGUGAGAGAGGCCAGAACAGGCCAUCCGGACCCCACUGUGCUGGUGGAUGAGACAGCAGAAGGAAUAUCAACCUACCAACAGAAUCCUGAGAAAUGCUCACUCUUACUUCAAGCUGCUGCAUUUUGAUGUUAUGAAACCAUAAAUAACUUAUGAAGUCAUCUUUGCUGACUUAAAGUUUUCCAUAACUUUAUUAUAACAUAUCAAAAUUAUGAAAAA